rnacentral:snoRNA from 1 species
AAUCCAUGAUGAGGGCAUUGAGCUUGGUAGCCUUUGAAUCUCUCCCAGGCUUCACUGAAUCCUUCGAAGCCUUUCUGUUGAAAGCUGGAGAUCUCAUUUCUCAGCUU